rnacentral:lncRNA from 1 species
CCCAGUGUCCCCAGUGUCCUCUGUUGUGCCCAGUGUCCUCAUUGUCCUCAGUGCCCCAUUGUCCCCAUUGUCCCGAAUGCCCCCAUUGUCCCCAUUGUCCCCAGUGCCCCUCUGUCCCCACAGGUGUUCCGUUGGGAGCAGCUCCCGACGUCCCUCCGGGGCCGAUUGGCUGGGGCUGAAGGACGAGGAUUUCCUGGGACUGGGGGACGAGGAUUUCCUGGGAAUGGGACAGAAGGACAGGGAUCCCACAGGAAUGGGACAGAAGGACGAGGAUUUCCCAGCACUGGGAUCAAAGGACAAGGAUCACCUGGGAUUGAGAUUGAAGAACAAGGAUUUCCUUGGACUGGGAUCAAAGGACAAGGAUCCCUCAGGAUUGGGAUCAAAGGACAAGGAUUUCCCAGGACUGGGACAGAAGAACAAGGAUUUCCUGAGAUCGGGAUCCAAGGAUGAGGACUUCCUUGGACGGCGACAGAAGAACAAGGAUCCCUCAGGAUUGGGAUCAAAGGAUGAGGAUCACCCAGGAUUGAGAUUGAGGAACAAGGAUUUCCUUGGACUGGGAUCAAAGGAAAAGGAUUUCCUGGGAUCGGGACAGAAGGACAAGGAUCGCCCAGGACUGGGACAGAAGAACAAAGAUCCCUCAGGAUUGGGAUCAAAGGACGAGGAUUUCCCAGGAUUGGGACACAAGGACGAGGAUUUCCCGGGAUUGGGACACAAGGACGAGGAUUUCCCGGGAUUGGGACACAAGGACGAGGAUUUCCCGGGACCGAAGGCCGAGGACCCCCCCAGCCCCGGUGCCCCCGGAUCCCUGCGGAAUUCCCGCCCCCGGAGGGUCCCGGAGCCCCCCGAGCCCGGCAGGUAAAGGGAACCCCCGGGAGAUCCCACCUGGCAUCCAGGAGAUCCAGGUGUGCCAGGUGACAUCACUGUCCCAGGUGUGCCAGGUGACAUCACUGUCCCAGGUGUGCCCAGGUGAUGUCCCUGUCCCAGGUGUGCCCAGGUGAUGUCACUGUCCCAGGUGUGCCAGGUGACAUCACUGUUCCAGUUCCCUCCAGGUGUCUAGGGGGACAUCCCCAUUCCAGGUCUCCUCCAGGUGCCCCAGGUGAUGUCACUGUCCCUGUCCCAGGUGUCCCAGGUGACGUCCCUGUCCCAGGUGGGCCCAGGUGACAUCCCUGUCCCAGGUGUCCCCUCCAGGUGUCCCCAGGGAUGUCCCUGCUCUGGAAUUCCCACCUGAGCUCCUCCCAC